AGGACUUGACAUAAUAUUGACCGGUAUAGAGAUAUACCUUUCUCUUCGGAGACAGUAUUACAGGUGGUGCAUGGUUGUCGUCAGCUCGUGUCGUGAGAUGUUGGGUUAAGUCCCGCAACGAGCGCAACCCUUAUCUUUAGUUGCCAGCACGUAAUGGUGGGAACUCUAAAGAGACUGCCGAUGAUAAAUCGGAGGAAGGUGGGGAUGACGUCAAAUCAUCAUGCCCUUUAUGUCCUGGGCUACACACGUGCUACAAUGGUUGGAAACAAAGAGAAGCUAAACAGCAAUGUCAUGCAAAUCUCAUAAAGCCAAUCUCAGUUCGGAUUGUAGGCUGCAACUCGCCUACAUGAAGUCGGAGUUGCUAGUAAUCGCAGAUCAGAAUGCUGCGGUGAAUGCGUUCCCGGGUC
rnacentral:rRNA from 1 species